AUUGAACGCUGGCGGCAGGCCUAACACAUGCAAGUCGAGCGGUAGAGAGGAGCUUGCUUCUCGAUUCAGCGGCGGACGGGUGAGUAAUGCCUAGGAAUCUGCCUGGUAGUAGGGGACAACGUUUCGAAAGGAAAGCUAAUACCGCAUCCGUCCUACGGGAGAAAGCAGGGGACCUUCGGGCCUUGCGCUAUCAGAUGAGCCUAGGUCGGAUUAGCUAGUUGGUGAGGUAAUGGCUCACCAAGGCGACGAUCCGUAACGGGUCUGAGAGGAUGAUCAGUCACACUGGAACUGAGACACGGUCCAGACUCCUACGGGAGGCAGCAGUGGGGAAUAUUGGACAAUGGGCGAAAGCCUGAUCCAGCCAUGCCGCGUGUGUGAAGAAGGUCUUCGGAUUGUAAAGCACUUUAAGUUGGGAGGAAGGGUUGUAGAUUAAUACUCUGCAAUUUUGACGUUACCGACAGAAUAAGCACCGGCUAACUCUGUGCCAGCCGCCGCUGUAAUAC
rnacentral:rRNA from 1 species